GGUCAAGUUAUAAAGGGCUGACGGUGGAUACCUAGGUACACAGAGGCGAAGAAGGACGUGGUUACCUACGAAAAGUUCCGGGGAGUUGGAAGCAAGCAUUGAGCCGGAAAUAUCCGAAUGGGGCAACCCAAACACGACAGGCUGAAUAUAUAGGCCUGCACGAGCGAACCCAGCCAACUGAAACAUCUUAGUAGCUGGAGGAAGAGAAAGCAAAAGCGAUUUCCAAUGUAGCGGUGAGCGAAAUGGAAACAGCCUAAACCAUGUGUAAUUACAUAUGGGGUAGUGGGACAACCAUUAGGAAUAGAAUAAAGUUAGAUGAAACAGCGGAAUACUGUACCAGAGAAGGUGAAAGUCCUGUAGUCAAAAACUAAAUUCGAUUCCGGUUGUAUCCCGAGUAGCAUGGGGCACGUGAAAUCCCGUGUGAAUCAGCGAGGACCACCUCGUAAGGCUAAAUACUCCUGUGUGACCGAUAGUGAACCAGUACCGCGAGGGAAAGGUGAAAAGAACCCCGGAAGGGGAGUGAAAUAGAAUAUGAAACCGUCAGCUUACAAGCAAUGGGAGCUCGAUUUAACGAGUGACCGUGUGCCUGUUGAAGCAUGAGCCGGCGAGUUAUAGGCUGUGGCUGGUUAAGACCAGAAAGGUUGAAGCCAAAGAGAAAGCGAGUCUGAAGAAGGCGUAAAGUCACAGUUUAUAGACCCGAACCCGGGUGAUCUAACCAUGUCCAGGAUGAAGCUUGGGUAACACCAAGUGAAGGUCCGAACCGACCGAUGUUGAAAAAUCGGCGGAUGAGGUGUGGUUAGGG
rnacentral:rRNA from 1 species